AAAGUAAUAUGGUUCUUCUACUAUCUUCAGUUGCUCAAAGAAACAACUGAUCCAUUACCUCUCCUAAAUUUUCAAUUUUAAUUUAGUGAUAUGCAUGAGAAAUCAAAGCUGAUUGAAAAUUAGAUGAGGUCUAUUCUAGUAUAAAUUUGGCGAAGGUUGAAGACAAGUCCUUUCACAAAAAAGAAGGUUGAAGACGAGUGGGUUAGAUAAAUCAGAUGCAAAACUUGUGACCAGUCAGAAUUUCAGGAAUUAAGCACGGUCUUCGCUUCUUCCGUCUGUUGAGAAGCAGCUUCCGAUCAAUGUGAUCUACUGAUCUUACACAUUCAUCUUACCUUCAAUCUCGUCACGGCACGUACUUCUCAUGAUCCGACAAACGCUUUGUUCCUCCCCUAGACAAAUCCAAAAACGGCUCGACGGAGUUCUCCCUCCUGAAGGAUCCACGAAAAAAGCCGCGAAUAGAUCACCGGAGUUUGAAUCCUCGAGCCGGAUCUCGUUUUGUUCAUUUCACGAUACGACACGGAGUCUGUCGGACCAGAUCUUAUCGGACUGAAGCCAUUCACCGAACUCGUUCGCCACAUGAUCUUGUAGAUGGAGACUUCACGCACCGCAAAAAAUGUAUGCUCUAAUGUCUCAUCCUCCUCUUCCUCUUC